CCAGAAUGCAUAGCGCAGCGGUGGGUGUGGAUAAUUUUGCUGAAAAAAACGGCGGAUGAGGGGCGCCCGAAGAGUAAACUUUAAGUAAGUACUGAAUAUUAUGUCACUUAUUUAUGUGCAAAUGUUUAAUAACGAAGAACAUGAAAACAUUCCUGUUGGCCACAUGUCGGCAAAGUUAUGUGACAUUAGUGACGUUUGUACAAACUUGGUUUUAAAGCCUUUACUUUAAAAUAUACGCCGUUCAAUAGCUGAGCUUAAUCUUACAGAGAAUGAUCAAAGCGCAUGUAGAAACAAACAAACAAAUGAACAAAAGAUUUUCUCCUUCAUUUCUGUCAAACAAUGCUGUAUGAAACGUUUCCAGCUGUUAGUAUCAUGGUUGCUUGGCAACCUGGGCAGCGCAACGGAGGGUAGACCAUCCCAUUUCACAACCCUCGCACUUCCGGCCUUAGCGGUCUUUGAGUACGCGGCCCUUGAGGAUCGUUGAGACUGCGUACUUUAAGGCUGCAGACCCUGAAUUGGGAUACAGCCACUGGGUCUCGGUGCAUUUUCAUCACCCUCAGUCUCACUUCCCCCUUUAAGACAUCUUUCUUCUGAUUGGCUGCCCAUCAUAACGAGCUGGUGGGUGGAGCUUCUCUUGUCUUCUGGGUUCCUGUCUUCCUCUUUUUUUGUUGUUUAUGUUGCUUCUCAUUCUUAAACCUCCUGAUUUAAUUUCUCUUUGGUUUCUUAACUUUAUUUUUUUUCAUUAAAUUUUUCUUUACUAGUCGUAUUUAGUUUUGAUAUGUGAUUCAUGCUUUUUGUUUGGAUUAUCGUCUUAUUUUUGUAUAUUUUGUUAUUUGUUUUUUCAUGUUUUUUGGUCUUGGCUACUUUUGUGUUUGUUAGUCCUUGUUCAGGUAGCAGUUCCUCUGCUUCCUUCACUCAUGCUCCCUGUGAUUUGCUCAGUUUGUUGCCUCUGUGUUUAUUUGUGGUCAGUUUUCUCCUGCGUUGAUCUAGAUUCAGAACAUGUUACGGUGCUCAUUUUUUCUCCUGCCUUUUUUUCACCUGUGACCUUUUGUUACUUGGCUCUGGACUUUUAUUAUAAGGACUUUCAGCCCAAUUUCAGCCUCUUUGUUUUGUGGAGCUGUGCAGUUGGGUCCUCUCACACCUCAUCUUUGUCAUUAUCUUUGGAUCCAAGAAUAGAAAAACUUAGAUAAACUGAGUGUUUGGAGCCUGAGGUUUCAGCUCACAGGGAUUGCUUUACACUCACCUCAUUAUUAGAAAUUUUAAUAUGAACACCCACCAUCUGAGCAUCUGCUGCUCACAAUAAAAGGUACAAAAAAAAAGAAGAAAAGGUCCACUUUAACAUCAGACUGAUUCCAUUACAGGUUGCACCAUCUCCGCCUUCUCUCAGUACACUAAUGACUAGGGAUGGGUAUCGAAACACGGUUCUUGUUGAGAACCGGUUCCCACUGUUUCAAUUCCUUGGAAUUGUUUGCCAUUUUUGCAAACGAUUCCCUUAUCGAUUCCAGUCGCUCCGAAUGACAUCACCACGUUGCGGAGCGUCAUUUACCUGGCAGGAAACAUGGUGGCUCAAAUGGUCAAAAGUUUGAUUAUACUUUAGGAGAACAGAUGACAACAGGGCAACUUGCAAUGCUUGCAAAGUAGAUAUUUCAUUUAAGGGAGGAAACACUACGAAUAUGCAAAAGCAUUUGCUCACAAAACACGCGAUGACCUUAAAUGAAUGUCAUGUUUUUAAUUCCGC
ensembl:lncRNA